rnacentral:rRNA from 1 species
GACGAACGCUGGCGGCGUGCUUAACACAUGCAAGUCGAACGAUGAAGGAGAGCUUGCUCUCCGGAUUAGUGGCGAACGGGUGAGUAACACGUGACUAACCUGCCCCUUUCUCAGGGAUAACGCUCCGAAAGGAGUGCUAAUACCGGAUACGAACUCUGAACACAUGUUCGGAGUUGGAAAGUUUUUCGGAAAGGGAUGGAGUCGCGGCCUAUCAGCUUGUUGGUGAGGUAAUGGCUCACCAAGGCGACGACGGGUAGCCGGCCUGAGAGGGCGACCGGCCACACUGGGACUGAGACACGGCCCAGACUCCUACAGGAGGCAGCAGUGGGGAAUAUUGCACAAUGGGCGAAAGCCUGAUGCAGCGACGCCGCGUGAGGGAUGACGGUCUUCGGAUUGUAAACCUCUUUCAGUAGGGACGAAGCGAAAGUGACGGUACCUAAAGAAGAAGCACCGGCUAACUACGUGCCAGCCGCCGCCGUAA